AGCGUACACGGUGGAUGCCUAGGCAGUCAGAGGCGAUGAAGGGCGUGCUAAUCUGCGAAAAGCGUCGGUAAGCUGAUAUGAAGCGUUAUAACCGACGAUACCCGAAUGGGGAAACCCAGUGCAAUACGUUGCACUAUCGUUAGAUGAAUACAUAGUCUAACGAGGCGAACCGGGGGAACUGAAACAUCUAAGUACCCCGAGGAAAAGAAAUCAACCGAGAUUCCCCCAGUAGCGGCGAGCGAACGGGGAGGAGCCCAGAGUCUGAAUCAGUUUGUGUGUUAGUGGAAGCGUCUGGAAAGUCGCACGGUACAGGGUGAUAGUCCCGUACACCAAAAUGCACAGGCUGUGAACUCGAUGAGUAGGGCGGGACACGUGACAUCCUGUCUGAAUAUGGGGGGACCAUCCUCCAAGGCUAAAUACUCCUGACUGACCGAUAGUGAACCAGUACCGUGAGGGAAAGGCGAAAAGAACCCCGGCGAGGGGAGUGAAAUAGAACCUGAAACCGUGUACGUACAAGCAGUGGGAGCACCUUCGUGGUGUGACUGCGUACCUUUUGUAUAAUGGGUCAGCGACUUAUAUUUUGUAGCAAGGUUAACCGAAUAGGGGAGCCGUAGGGAAACCGAGUCUUAACUGGGCGUCUAGUUGCAAGGUAUAGACCCGAAACCCGGUGAUCUAGCCAUGGGCAGGUUGAAGGUUGGGUAACACUAACUGGAGGACCGAACCGACUAAUGUUGAAAAAUUAGCGGAUGACUUGUGGCUGGGGGUGAAAGGCCAAUCAAACCGGGAGAUAGCUGGUUCUCCCCGAAAGCUAUUUAGGUAGCGCCUCGUGAACUCAUCUUCGGGGGUAGAGCACUGUUUCGGCUAGGGGGCCAUCCCGGCUUACCAAACCGAUGCAAACUCCGAAUACCGAAGAAUGUUAUCACGGGAGACACACGGCGGGUGCUAACGUCCGUCGUGAAGAGGGAAACAACCCAGACCGCCAGCUAAGGUCCCAAAGUCAUGGUUAAGUGGGAAACGAUGUGGGAAGGCACAGACAGCCAGGAUGUUGGCUUAGAAGCAGCCAUCAUUUAAAGAAAGCGUAAUAGCUCACUGGUCGAGUCGGCCUGCGCGGAAGAUGUAACGGGGCUAAACCAUGCACCGAAGCUGCGGCAGCGACACUUAGGUGUUGUUGGGUAGGGGAGCGUUCUGUAAGCCGUUGAAGGUGACCUGUGAGGGUUGCUGGAGGUAUCAGAAGUGCGAAUGCUGACAUAAGUAACGAUAAUGCGGGUGAAAAACCCGCACGCCGGAAGACCAAGGGUUCCUGUCCAACGUUAAUCGGGGCAGGGUGAGUCGACCCCUAAGGCGAGGCUGAAAAGCGUAGUCGAUGGGAAACAGGUUAAUAUUCCUGUACUUGGUGUUACUGCGAAGGGGGGACGGAGAAGGCUAGGCUGGCCGGGCGACGGUUGUCCCGGUUUAAGCGUGUAGGGGGAGUGACCAGGUAAAUCCGGUUGCUUAUCAACCCUGAGGCGUGAUGACGAUGCACCACGGUGCAGAAGCAGUUGAUGCCAUGCUUCCAGGAAAAGCCUCUAAGCAUCAGGUAACAUUAAAUCGUACCCCAAACCGACACAGGUGGUCAGGUAGAGAAUACUCAGGCGCUUGAGAGAACUCGGGUGAAGGAACUAGGCAAAAUGGUGCCGUAACUUCGGGAGAAGGCACGCUGGCGUUAGGUGAAAGGACUAGCUCCUGGAGCUGAAGCCAGUCGCAGAUACCAGCUGGCUGCAACUGUUUAAUAAAAACACAGCACUGUGCAAACACGAAAGUGGACGUAUACGGUGUGACGCCUGCCCGGUGCUGGAAGGUUAAUUGAUGGGGUCAGCCGCAAGGCGAAGCUCUUGAUCGAAGCCCCAGUAAACGGCGGCCGUAACUAUAACGGUCCUAAGGUAGCGAAAUUCCUUGUCGGGUAAGUUCCGACCUGCACGAAUGGCGUAAUGAUGGCCAGGCUGUCUCCACCCGAGACUCAGUGAAAUUGAACUCGCUGUGAAGAUGCAGUGUACCCGCGGCAAGACGGAAAGACCCCGUGAACCUUUACUAUAGCUUGACACUGAACAUUGAGCCUUGAUGUGUAGGAUAGGUGGGAGGCCUUGAAGUGUGGACGCCAGUCUGCAUGGAGCCAACCUUGAAAUACCACCCUUUAAUGUUUGAUGUUCUAACUCGGCCCCAUGAUCUGGGGUGAGGACAGUGUCUGGUGGGUAGUUUGACUGGGGCGGUCUCCUCCCAAAGAGUAACGGAGGAGCACGAAGGUUAGCUAAUCACGGUCGGACAUCGUGAGGUUAGUGCAAAGGCAUAAGCUAGCUUGACUGCGAGAGUGACGGCUCGAGCAGGUACGAAAGUAGGUCUUAGUGAUCCGGUGGUUCUGAAUGGAAGGGCCAUCGCUCAACGGAUAAAAGGUACUCCGGGGAUAACAGGCUGAUACCGCCCAAGAGUUCAUAUCGACGGCGGUGUUUGGCACCUCGAUGUCGGCUCAUCACAUCCUGGGGCUGAAGUAGGUCCCAAGGGUAUGGCUGUUCGCCAUUUAAAGUGGUACGCGAGCUGGGUUUAGAACGUCGUGAGACAGUUCGGUCCCUAUCUGCCGUGGGCGUUGGAAGAUUGAGAGGGGCUGCUCCUAGUACGAGAGGACCGGAGUGGACGAAUCACUGGUGUUCGGGUUGUCAUGCCAAUGGCAUUGCCCGGUAGCUAAAUUCGGAAGAGAUAACCGCUGAAAGCAUCUAAGCGGGAAACUUGCCUCGAGAUGAGUCUUCCCUGGGGCUUAAAGCCCCCUGAAGGAACGUUAAAGACUAUGACGUUGA
rnacentral:rRNA from 10 species